UUUGUUUGCCUUAUCUUACAUGUAGUACGGUAAUCGCGAAAUAAAGUUUGUCCAUUUAUUUUGCUGUAGAGUAUGUCGACGUUCAACAAGCCAAUGUGGCUGAAUUUGGUCCAUCAGCUCUUUCUCUAGUACAAGAAUGGCUAGCUAAAGUACUGUAAAAUAUUAUCCAGAUCUGACAUAACAACUACCUUAAAAUGCUUCCAGUAUCCUGCUGUCAAAGGGCAAAAAUGUAUAUAGCGAUGGGAAUGUUGAACAACACACAGCCGCUUGCUCAGAAAGCUGCAAGAUGGUGGACAAGCACAAGCUCUUUUUAAUGGCAGCCAGCAGUCCGAGAACUUCCAAGCAAACAGAUGGUUGACUAUGAUGAGGAGACACAACGUGCUCUUUGUGUAUGUUGGAAAGGAGUCUCCACACAAGGAAGGGGCUCCGGAUGUUUCUUCGAUUCAGAGCAUAGUUUCCAAGAGCAGAGUGAGAGAUAUCACAAUAUAUAUUACAAUAUGUAGCAAUACAAUAUGUAUUAGAAGUUGUUUUGGUCAAAUGAAAUCAGACAUUUUAGUUAACAUAAAUAUCACUAUGUCUGCAGAUAGCAAGCUACUCAGCUCUCCUCAGGCACAGGGCCUAACCUCUGGGGCUAUAGGGGAGAUGGGAAUCAUGAUCUCAAUAUAUGUAAUGAUAUAGAACAUUAUUAGGAAUGAUUUUGAUGAUGUAGAUUGAUGUUGAUAACCGCCUAUGGUGUGGAAUUAGGAACUACAGUUUUCCUGGUCAAGAAGAAAAUCAAGGCCCUAUAAUCAAUUAUAACAUCACUAACAGAUUCAUUUGAUAGUAAAUUAUGUCAAAUGUUAAGGAAUUCAGUGCCUGAAAUCAUGGUAGCAUUCAUAUUCUCCCAGUGUGUUGAUGGACAUUUUAUAAUGAUUAAAAGACACAUUUUCCCCAGUCAA